rnacentral:rRNA from 1 species
GACGAACGCUGGCGGCGUGCUUAACACAUGCAAGUCGAACGGACAGGCCUCUUUCGGGGGGUACUCGAGUGGCGAACGGGCGAGUAACACGUGAGUAACCUGCCCUUCACUUUGGGAUAACUUCCGUAAACUGGGGCUAAUACCGGAUAGGAGCUCCUGCUGCCUGGAGGGGGUUGGAGAGUUUCGGCGGUUGGGGGUGGACUCGCGGCUUAUCAGCUUGUUGUUGGGGUAGUGGCUUACCAACGCGUUGACGGGUAGCCGGCCUGUGAGGGUGACAGGCCGCACUGAGACUGAGGGACGGCCCAGGCUGCGACGGGAGGGAGCAGGGGGGAAGAUUGCCCAAGGAGUGCAGGCCUGGUGCAGAAGGGCCGUGUGCGGGAUGACUGUCUUAGGGUUGAAGACCGCUUUCGCUAAUGACGAAGCUUUGUGUGACGGUAGUGGGUAAAGAAGCACCGGCUAACUACGUG